UACGAGAGGGGUAAGCAUUAUUCAUCAUUAAUGGGUCUAAAGGGUACGUAGGCUGUAUCAUAAGACUGAAAGGUAUCGAACUAAAUGAAUAAGAGCUUUUCGGUAACUAUGAAACUAGAGUGUAAUGGAGGAAAGAGGAACUCCGAGAGUAGGGAUGGAAUCUGUUGAUCCUCGGAAGACCGCUUAAGGCGAAGGCUUCUUUCUAACUAAACACUGACGCUGAGGUACGAAAGUAUGGGGAGCAAAACGG
rnacentral:rRNA from 1 species